AUUCAUCCAUAAAAUCACAAUUCUUCAAUUCCAAAAGUAUCAAGUCAUCUACUUCAUCACAAAGUGCAACUUGGCAGCAUGCAUAGACAAAACUAACAAACUAACACUCACUUGGCUAACAUGCAAGACAACAACGACUCAACAUAGACACACAAAAACAAAGACACAUCCCCCUCCUCACACUUAGACGUUGCUUGCCCUCAAGCAAACAAGAAAAAGCAUAAAAAAGAGAAGCACACAAAAUACUAACAAAAAUGCAAGACAAAAAAAAAAAAAAAAAGACAAAGAGAAACAUAAAGAAAAAACAAACAGAAGGGAAGGACAUCACCGUGCAAGCUGCCUUGUGGAGAUGCCGACAGAGGGCGGAGGGCGGCG
rnacentral:lncRNA from 1 species